GUGUGACCUGGGGACAAUUAGAACAGGACCUGGCACAUGAAACUCGAUAAGCACUGUUGAGGAAGAGAAGGAAUCUGCCAAAUUUACAUUUUUUUCUUUCACACUGACUAACUGUAGGCAAAUGUUUGUGAAGGUGCUGACGGCCAUCCUACUGAGCAUCGGCUGAGUCUCCGGUGUGAAGACUACCCAGUACCAGGAUCUCUCACUUGGGAAAUGAGAUUCCAUCAAAGAAGGAAUAGACAAGGGAAGGACAAGUCCUGAGUAACUGGGAAAGGAAACUCUACAUGGGAUAAGAGCUUCCGUGAAGGAUGCGAAGUACAGCAUCUCAGCAAGGGGACGAUUACUCCUCCCAGCGCCUUCACAUUUCUUCAGCUGAGUCAGAUUUCCUGAUGGUUGUCUCCUGGCCAUGUGAUUGACAGACCCAGCUAGAUGAACUCUUCGGAGGAGAGACAUAAGUGUAACCCCUCCUCCAGUUUACCAACUGGGCUUCCUGGGAACGGGAAAUAAAGAUGUGCAGCUCUUCAACCUAACAGUUUAAAAAGGUACGAGAAAGCAAUGAUCAUCUCCCUUAAAACAAGGACGCCUUUGGGAGAGUGGUCAUGCCAUCAGGAUGCCAGGGGAUCUUUGAACACAGGUGCCCAGGGUUAGGAGAUAGAAAGGAAUAUGCAUCAUCUGCAUCAUCUGCAUCAUCUGCACCAUCCUCAUCAUCCGCAUCAUCCCAAUCCUCGCUUUGCAUCACCAGAUGAAGCAACUCAGCCAGAGUGCAAGGACAGAGUGACCGUCUUCACCAUCUUCACAUCUAAUGAUAUCCUGAAGAAGAUAAUUGAGGGUGACACCUUAUGUGGAAUAUAUAUGCGGACCGAGCAAAGGUGACACUAAGAAGCAGGGUGCAUCUCUCCCACAGCCCGCGCUGCUUGGUGUCGGUCUCUGAAUUCAUAACACAAACGAACAGAAGACAAAAAUCGUUUGCAGAUUCUGAAAGGAAGGAUUUCGACAGGAGAGAUGUUUAGAACGUGCUAGUCUGGGAAGCUGGAGAGGAGGCGGUCCUUAAAACCAACCAAUCAAAGACCUGGAAAGGGAAGCUUCCCAAGCACCCGCCCCCUCGGGAACAUCUGCUCUCCCCUUAUCCCUAGUUGGUCAAUAAAGAUGCCUACAGCCAAUCAAGUUGGUCCUGGGCUUGGGGUCUGAGUCAGAGGCCAGGAAGACAGAGAGGGGAAGAGAGAGGAAAAUACCAUGAGGACACAAAAAAGAUAGUAGAACAGGUCUUAGGCAAGAUUAGGGGAGGGAGAGGCCAACCGGGGCUUGAGUGGAUGGCAAAUGGGUAGACUCUUUAUAUGGAGAAGUCAGAGUCCUGUGGAACACAUUAAGACUCAACCAUGGUGGGAGAAAGUCAUCAGCAGAGGAUGCUGGGAACCAUGACUUCCUGGAGGCAGCUCUUCCACAGGAGCGGAGCCAGUGUUCUCAGCGAAAACAGCCAGGACCUACCACCAUUCAGGAAACAAAUAUAUGACCCUGCACUCAGCUAGGAAGGGCGAACUUCAGAGGUCCCUGGAGCGCUCUUCCCACACUGGAAAGACAGGAACUGGAAAGGCAUUUCCACGAGCGUGCCUUUCAGACUUGACUGUUGCCUACAGCCAGAAUUACAUGUUGCAGCUCCACCCAGACUGUACAUAAGCACACAUAGGCUACUGAAACAAGCAUUCCAGAAAAAUCACUUCCCCUUGUUGGGUUGAAGUGGCUUUGGUUUGGUCUAUUCUGUUCUAUUCUAGUCUAUUCUGUCUAGUUCUGGUCUUUAUCAAAGCUAUUUAAAAGUGCUUGCCCAGAUCAUUCAUGAAAUGAUUUCCUGGCUCAUUAAUGGGUUGUAACUCAUAGUUUAAAACACGCUGGAGCUGGGCAGGCAGGUGUGGAGCUAUGUCAUGCUAGCCAUUGCUCCAGAUCAGUAGCUCUCAACCUUCCUAUGCUGUGACCCUUUUAACACAGUUCCUCAUGUUGUAGUGACCCCAACUAUAAAAUUAAUU
rnacentral:lncRNA from 1 species